rnacentral:lncRNA from 1 species
GACAAAACCUUCCAGUACCAUGUUCUCCGUGCUUGGCUUGCCAGAGAGCCCUUCAUGGGAUCUAACAAAUAACAUAUGUAUAUAUGUAAACAGGUGUUCACGUGGGUGCGGUGUAACCUGAAGGAAAGAGAACAAGAAAGGCUAAAAAUAAGAGACCUCAGGAACACUGCGUGCAGGCAGUGCCAGCCCCGGUGAAAGCCGAGGUGGGAGAAAUUGGAAGUCGCUGCGGGAGGCCACUUGACU